rnacentral:rRNA from 1 species
UACGGAGGGGGCGAGCGUUAUUCGGAAUUAUUGGGCGUAAAGAGCUCGUAGGCGGUCAGUCGCGUCUGCUGUGAAAACUCGGGGCUUAACUCCGGGCCUGCAGUGGGUACGGGCUGACUAGAGUGCGGUAGGGGAGACUGGAAUUCCUGGUGUAGCGGUGAAAUGCGCAGAUAUCAGGAGGAACACCGGUGGCGAAGGCGGGUCUCUGGGCCGUAACUGACGCUGAGGAGCGAAAGCGUGGGGAGCGAACAGG